UACGUAGGGUGCAGGCGUUAAUCGGAAUUACUGGGCGUAAAGCGUGCGCAGGCGGUUUGCUAAGACAGGUGUGAAAUCCCCGGGCUUAACCUGGGAACUGCGUCCGAUACUGGCAGGCUUGAAUUCGGGAGAGGGAUGUGGAAUUCCAGGUGUAGCGGUGAAAUGCGUAGAUAUCUGGAGGAACACCGGUGGCGAAGGCGGCAUCCUGGACCGAUAUUGACGCUGAUGCGCGAAAGCCAGGGGAGCAAACGGG
rnacentral:rRNA from 1 species